CCUACGGGAGGCAGCAGUGGGGAAUCUUCCGCAAUGGGCGAAAGCCUGACGGAGCAACGCCGCGUGGAGGAAGAAGGUCUUCGGAUUGUAAACUCCUUUCAGCGGAGACGAAGCCUGUAUGGGUGACGGUAUCCGCAGAAGAAGCCCCGGCCAACUACGUGCCAGCAGCCGCGGUAAGACGUAGGGGCAAGCGUUGUCCGGAAUUACUGGGCGUAAAGAGCGCGUAGGCGGUUUAUUAAGUCAGAUGUGAAAGUCUUAGGAUCAAACUGAGAAUUGCAUCUGAAACUGAUAGACUAGAGUCCAAUAGAGGAGAGUGGAAUUCCCGGUGUAGGGGUAAAAUGCGCAGAGAUCGGGAGGAACACCAGGGGCGAGGGCGGCUCUCGGGAUUGCGACUGACGCUGAGGCGCGAAAGCUAGGGGAGCAAACAGGAUUAGAUCCCCCUGUAGU
rnacentral:rRNA from 1 species